rnacentral:rRNA from 1 species
GACGUAGGGUGCGAGCGUUGUCCGGAUUUAUUGGGCGUAAAGAGCUCGUAGGCGGCUCGUCGCGUCAGCUGUGAAAACCCGCAGCUUAACUGUGGGCUUGCAGCUGAUACGGGCGGGCUAGAGUUCGGUAGGGGAGACUGGAAUUCCUGGUGUAGCGGUGAAAUGCGCAGAUAUCAGGAAGAACACCCGUGGCGAAGGCGGCUCUCUGGGACGGUACUGACGCUGAGACGCGAAAGCGUGGGGAGCGAACAGG